ensembl:lncRNA
GCUAAAAGUGCCGCGGCUAUAGCCCCGGACGCCAUAGCCCCGGACGCCCAGGGCUAACGACGCCACUGCUGGCGGCUAUGGAUAUACGAUCAUUUUUCACAAAGAAAAAGGACAAGGUGUCUACUGUAGCAGUAGAGACACUAGCAGAAAGAAGUAAGGAUGUGAGACUGCCACUGUCUCAUCUGAAGUUACAAGCUCAGAUGGCCCGGAAUGCCCUGACCAACAGGGGACGUUUCUGGGACUUCUGUGCAGGUUCUGUUGGCAGGUCUUCCUCAGGUUUGGGACAGGAUGGGAUGCCGUGGUCAUGAUCUGUGGGGGGAACCUUGCACAAUUAGAACUGAACAGGCUACUCAAGACACCAAAAGUUCCUUUACAUACAGAAGGCAGCUACUUCAGAUAAGGUAGGACCUCUGGUUCAACUCUAUUCUUGAACACCUGUUGCAGGAUA